GUUUGGAAGGAAACGGAUAGAGUCAAUGACGGUUGGUGGGAUUCAGUUUGCCGAUUGAGUCUUGAGUUCGCGUGCGGACUAAGUGCCGUGUGGGUUCAAGUUCAUUGUCGGUGAAUGCAUUUCCCAUUGACGCGCGUUGAGGGCUGUGGAGGCGCGAAACGAAACCCGAGUUGCCGGCCCUGUUCGCGGGGUGUCCCACUCGGAUGUAGGUUCGUCGCAGUCAUAGUAAAUAAGGUGUCCGCUCUGCUUGGUAGUCUGGCUUCUCGGUUGAAUGAAUCUGGGCAGUUUGCUUGCACACUGUCCUAACCCUUGAUCGGGAGUGUUAGGCAAUCCAAGUGACACUGACUUCAGCGUAAAAGUUGACGACCUAUCUGACCCGUCUUGAAACACGGACCAAGGAGUCUAACAUGUGUGCGAGUCACUGGGCGGUAAACCCAGAGGCGUAAUGAAAGUGAAGAUCGGCUUGACCGGUUGAUACGGGAUCUCUCCUUGAGGGAGCGCACUGUAGCCCCGUCUGGACUGCUUGUCAGUAGGGCGGAGGAAGAGCAUACACGUUGGGACCCGAAAGAUGGUGAACUAUGCCUGAGCAGGGCGAAGCCAGAGGAAACUCUGGUGGAGGUCCGAAGCGGUUCUGACGUGCAAAUCGAUCGUCAGACUUGGGUAUAGGGGCGAAAGACUAAUCGAACUAUC
rnacentral:rRNA from 1 species